GGUGACUCAGUGGUAGAGUGCUUGUCUCACAUGCAUGAGGCUCUGGGUUCGAUUCCUUAGCACCA
rnacentral:tRNA from 1 species